rnacentral:rRNA from 1 species
GACGGGCCCGCACAAGCAGCGGAGCGUGUGGUUAAUCGAUGUUACACGAAGAACCUUACCAGGGUUUGACAUGCAAGUGGUAGGGAACUGAAAAGGGACCGACCCUUCGGGGAGCCUAUACAGGUGUUGCAUGGCUGUCGUCAGCUCGUGUCGUGAGAUGUUCGGUUAAGUCCGCUAACGAGCGCAGCCCUCGUCGUAUGUUAUAUGUGUCAUACGAGACUGCCGGUAAAAGCCGGAGGAAGGUGAGGAUGAUGUCAAGUCAGCAUGACCUUUAUAUCCAGGGCUACACACACGCUACAAUGGUCUGUACAAUGGGUAGCCAAGCCGCGAGGCGGAGCCAAUCCUGAAAGCAGGCCUCAGUUCAGAUUGCAGUCUGCAACUCGACUGCAUGAAGCCGGAGUUGCUAGUAACCGCAGGUCAGCAAUACUGCGGUGAAUACGUUCCCGGGUCUU